rnacentral:rRNA from 1 species
GACGAACGCUGGCGGCGUGCUUAACACAUGCAAGUCGAACGAAGAGCGAUGGAAGCUUGCUUCUCUCAAUCUUAGUGGCGAACGGGUGAGUAACGCGUAAUCAACCUGCCCUUCAGAGGGGGACAACAGUUGGAAACGACUGCUAAUACCGCAUACGAUCUGACCUCGGCAUCGAGGAUAGAUGAAAGGUGGCCUCUACAUGUAAGCUAUCACUGAAGGAGGGGAUUGCGUCUGAUUAGCUAGUUGGAGGGGUAACGGCCCACCAAGGCGAUGAUCAGUAGCCGGUCUGAGAGGAUGAACGGCCACAUUGGGACUGAGACACGGCCCAGACUCCUACGGGAGGCAGCAGUGGGGAAUCUUCCGCAAUGGACGAAAGUCUGACGGAGCAACGCCGCGUGAGUGAUGACGGCCUUCGGGUUGUAAAGCUCUGUUAAUCGGGACGAAAGGCCUUUUUGCGAAUAGGGAGAAGGAUUGACGGUACCGGAAUAGAAAGCCACGGCUAACUACGUG